rnacentral:rRNA from 1 species
GACGAACGCUGGCGGCGUGCUUAACACAUGCAAGUCGAGCGGUAAGGCCCUUUCGGGGGUACGACGAGCGGCGAACGGGUGAGUAACACGUGGGUGACCUGCCCUCCAGCUCUGGGAGUAAGCCUCGGGAAACCGGGUACGUAAUACCGGAUAUGACUCCAUGACGCAUGUUGUGGGGUGGAAAGCCUUGUGCGGCUGAGGAUGGGCCCGCGGCCUAUCAGCUUGUUGGUGGGGUGAUGGCCUACCAAGGCGACGACGGGUAGCCGGCCUGAGGGGGCGACCGGCCACACU